UCCCUGGUGGUCCAGUGGCUAAGACUUUGUGCUCCCAAUGCACGGGGCCAGGUUCAAGUCCUGGUCAGGGAA
rnacentral:tRNA from 1 species